rnacentral:rRNA from 1 species
CGAAACUCCUACGGGAGGCAGCAGUGGGGAAUAUUGCACAAUGGGGGAAACCCUGAUGCAGCGACGCCGCGUGGAGGAAGAAGGUCUUCGGAUUGUAAACUCCUGUUGUUGAGGAAGAUAAUGACGGUACUCAACAAGGAAGUGACGGCUAACUACGUGC